UUUGAUGUAAGAUUUUGUGGUUC
rnacentral:misc_RNA from 1 species